CGUGAACGCUGGCGGUAGGCCUAACACAUGCAAGUCGAACGGCAGCACAGUAAGAGCUUGCUCUUACGGGUGGCGAGUGGCGGACGGGUGAGGAAUACAUCGGAAUCUACUUUUUCGUGGGGGAUAAAGUAGGGAAACUUACGCUAAUACCGCAUACGACCUACGGGUGAAAGCAGGGGAUCUUCGGACCUUGCGCGAUUGAAUGAGCCGAUGUCGGAUUAGCUAGUUGGCGGGGUAAAGGCCCACCAAGGCGACGAUCCGUAGCUGGUCUGAGAGGAUGAUCAGCCACACUGGAACUGAGACACGGUCCAGACUCCUACGGGAGGCAGCAGUGGGGAAUAUUGGACAAUGGGCGCAAGCCUGAUCCAGCCAUACCGCGUGGGUGAAGAAGGCCUUCGGGUUGUAAAGCCCUUUUGUUGGGAAAGAAAAGCAGCAGGUUAAUACCCCGCUGUUCUGACGGUACCCAAAGAAUAAGCACCGGCUAACUUCGUG
rnacentral:rRNA from 1 species